AGUGAACGCUGGCGGUAGGCCUAACACAUGCAAGUCGAACGGCAGCACAGUAAGAGCUUGCUCUUACGGGUGGCGAGUGGCGGACGGGUGAGGAAUACAUCGGAAUCUACUUUUUCGUGGGGGAUAACGUAGGGAAACUUACGCUAAUACCGCAUACGACCUACGGGUGAAAGCAGGGGAUCUUCGGACCUUGCGCGAUUGAAUGAGCCGAUGUCGGAUUAGCUAGUUGGCGGGGUAAAGGCCCACCAAGGCGACGAUCCGUAGCUGGUCUGAGAGGAUGAUCAGCCACACUGGAACUGAGACACGGUCCAGACUCCUACGGGAGGCAGCAGUGGGGAAUAGUGGACAAUGGGCGCAAACCUGAUCCAGCCAUACCGCGUGGGUGAAGAAGGCCUUCGGGUUGUAAAGCCCUUUUGUUGGGAAAGAAAAGCAGCAGGUUAAUACCCCGCUGUUCUGACGGUACCCAAAGAAUAAGCACCGGCUAACUUCGUG
rnacentral:rRNA from 1 species